CUGCUUCAUUUUUAGGGAUAAUUACCAUGGCAUUCUCUCCUCCAGUUGAUAUGCAAGAGCCUACAUGCUUACUUUCAGGAAGACUCUUCUUAAAGUUCUGUGCUCCUUCAGGGUGAGGUGCUAGGUGAUAGAAUCUUGGAAUAAAGUCUUCAGCUGGUCUGGCCACCUUGGGAGGACUCCCUGUAGCACAUCCAGCACAUGCUGAAAAAAAUAUCUGUCAGUUGCCCUGAAACACUUUGGCAUGUCGCAGAAGAAGCUGGAGACUGUUGCUGAAGACAGAGAAUCCUGCUCUGCCCUGCUUAGUUUGCAAUCACUGUAGUCAUGAGCAGGAUCAAAAGUUCAGAAAAUGGAUUGAAGAGAGAUCUCGCAAUAUGUGACCACACAUUGAUGUCACAUAUCUGCUUUGGAAUACCAUAUUACUGCUAAACAGUCAUGUUAUUCAGAUCAUCAUAUAAAGUUAUAUUCCUCUUGACUGAAAUUGUUUUGAAAUACAACAUUAUAAAAACAUUUAUAACAUCAAUAAGAAACUUUGAGUUAAUGGUUUUGGUAAACAUAUUUAUAUCUGGAGUGGAGUGCAUUUGGUUAAGAUUUUUAGUAAUAUUAGUAAUAUAUAAGCUGAAUGAUACAUAGAAAUGUGUAGCUGUACCUAACAAGUCACUGGUUGAAGAGAAUAGGGCUGGGAUUCAUAGAUGAGCCUUGCACAUUUGAUCUUCACUAGCAUGCAUAAAUUCACUGUGGAUGGUGGCUGACAGCUAAGAAGAUAUACAUUAUGCACUGCCUUGGAAGGUAUUUAUGUAUUAUCGCAACCACGUUAUCUACUACUCAAUUCAUUUAUUUCACCCUGGCCAUAUUUUAUUCAUCUUUUUAACUUCUCUUAAAGCCUUUGAGUUACCUGAAUAAGAAAAUGUGUUUUAAUAUCAUUCUUUUAAAUUCUACUGUUCACCUCAGAUUAGCACCGAUAUUCACCUUCACUAUACCCUCUGGUUAUUUCAAGUCCGUAUAUUACGAGAUACAAGACAGAAAACUGUCUACUUUUACAGUCAUAGAUGGUAUGUCUAUCAUAACAAAAUUAAAAUCAUUCUUAUUGGUAUUUUCUCCAUUAACAUUUUUCUGAGAAGGGUUCAGUCCACACAUUCUUCCAGCCAAAAUGUCAGCAAAAACUUCAGACCAGUUUCUUCACAGGCAUGUAGACAUAUUUGCAGAAUAUGACAAAAUACUUCAUUUGAUGGAUAUUCAUUUAGUCAGAUAAUCAGACAAUUGUACUUCCCACUGAGAAUUCCGAUGCUAAUUAUAACACAUUGCAGAACGAAAAAAGAUCACCACUACAGACCACAAACAAACCAGUAUGUAUUAAACAUCAGCAGAAAGUAAUUUUUUUGCAAAGUGCUGCACUUUAUACAUUUCUGAUGCUGAAUUAUUCUAACCCUA